GUUGAUCGCUUGGAUGUCCUGGUUACCGAAGUCAGAGAGUCGAACGUGGUUCCAUUCGGUAAAAUCUGCAAGUGUAGAAUAUCCCACUAGCUGUAAGAGCGUUAAUCUUCCCGUAUCCCUACAACACGAGUCGAGGCUGCGAGUUGAGGGUCAAAACUAACUGGCUUUACUGGCACACAAGCAUGGCAAUUUAUGCAAGUCCCCAGGUCCAGGGACAGCCCCCUCUGGACCUGAUGGGAUACAAGUACAGUACAAUUAUUUAACCAAUCCCCAUACAGUGUAUCAUUCAAAC